CAGUAGCCGCGGUAAUACGAAGGGUGCAAGCGUUACUCGGAAUUACUGGGCGUAAAGCGUGCGUAGGUGGUGGUUUAAGUCCGUUGUGAAAGCCCUGGGCUCAACCUGGGAAUUGCAGUGGAUACUGGGUCACUAGAGUGUGGUAGAGGAUAGUGGAAUUUCCGGUGUAGCGGUGAAAUGCGUAGAGAUCUGGAGGAAUACCGGUGGCGAAGGCGGCCCCCUGGACAAAGACUGACGCUCAGGUGCGAAAGCGUGGGGAGCAAACAGGAUUAGAUACCCCCGUAGUCCCUGUCUCUUAUAC
rnacentral:rRNA from 1 species